rnacentral:rRNA from 1 species
ACAGAGGCGGCAAGCGUUGUUCGGAAUUAUUGGGCGUAAAGAGCAUGUAGGCGGCUAUGUAAGUCGGUUGUGAAAGCCUUCCGCUUAACGGAGGAAUGGCGGUCGAAACUGCAUGGCUUGAGUGCGGGAGGGGAGAGUGGAACUUCUGGUGGAGCGGUGAAAUGCGUAGAUAUCAGAAGGAACGUCGGCGGCGAAAGCGACUAUCUAGACCGUAACUGACGCUCAUGCACGAAAGCGUGGGGAGCAAACAG